GUAACGGCGAGUGAAGCGGCAACAGCUCAAAUUUGAAAUCUGGCCGCAAGGUCCGAGUUGUAAUUUGCAGAGGAUGCUUUUGGCGAGGUGCCUUCCGAGUUCCCUGGAACGGGACGCCAUAGAGGGUGAGAGCCCCGUACGGUAGGACCACCGAGCCUUUGUAAAGCUCCUUCGACGAGUCGAGUAGUUUGGGAAUGCUGCUCUAAAUGGGAGGUGUACGUCUUCUAAAGCUAAAUACCGGCCAGAGACCGAUAGCGCACAAGUAGAGUGAUCGAAAGAUGAAAAGCACUUUGAAAAGAGGGUUAAAAAGUACGUGAAAUUGUUGAAAGGGAAGCAUUCAUGACCAGACUUGGGCUUGGUUGAACAUCCGGCGUUCUCGCCGGUGCACUCUGCCAGUCCAGGCCAGCAUCAGUUUGCCCCGGGGGACAAAGGCGGUGGGAAUGUGGCUCUCUCCGGGGAGUGUUAUAGCCCGCCGUGUAAUGCCCUGGGGCGGACUGAGGAACGCGCUUCGGCUCGGAUGCUGGCGUAAUGGUCAUCAAUGACCCGUCUUGAAACACGGACCAAGGAGUCGUCUUCGUAUGCGAGUGUUCGGGUGUCAAACCCCUACGCGAAAUGAAAGUGAACGUAGGUGAGAGCUUCGGCGCAUCACCGACCGAUCCUGAUGUUCUCGGACGGAUUUGA
rnacentral:rRNA from 1 species